rnacentral:misc_RNA from 1 species
UACGGAGGGAGCUAGCGUUGUUCGGAAAUACUGGGCGUAAAGCGCGCGUAGGCGGAUCAGGAAGUUGGGGGUGAAAUCCCGGGGCUCAACCUCGGAACGGCCUUCAAAACUCCUGGUCUUGAGUUCGAGAGAGGUGAGUGGAAUUCCGAGUGUAGAGGUGAAAUUCGUAGAUAUUCGGAGGAACACCAGUGGCGAAGGCGGCUCACUGGCUCGACACUGACGCUGAGGUGCGAAAGCGUGGGGAGCAAACAGG